rnacentral:rRNA from 1 species
AACGCACCUUGCGCUCCUUGGCAUUCCGAGGAGCAUGCCUGUUUGAGUGUCACGUAACACCUCGAUCCCCCUCGGCGUCACCAGACGUCGGUUGGGCUCGGAUGUGGGCGUCUGCCACGAGCUUCUUGCUCGAGGCUCGCCUUUAAAUGCAUGAGCCGGUCCACAGCGAAGGCGCCACCGCGGUCGAAUUAAGUUCUUUGCUCUUUUCACCGUCGAGCCGUUAGCCAUGGACUGCUUCCAAUCGUCUUCGGACAAUAACGAGGGGCCUUUGGGUCCCUUGUAGAUUGGCCUCAAAUCAGGUAGGACUACCCGCUGAACUUAA